rnacentral:rRNA from 1 species
UACGGGGGGGGCAAGCGUUGUUCGGAAUUACUGGGCGUAAAGGGCUCGUAGGCGGCCAACUAAGUCAGAGGUGAAAUCCCUCGGCUUAACCGGGGAACUGCAUCUGAUACUGGAUGGCUUGAGUUCGGGAGAGGGAUGCGGAAUUCCAGGUGUAGCGGUGAAAUGCGUAGAUAUCUGGAGGAACACCGGUGGCGAAGGCGGCAUCCUGGACCGACACUGACGCUGAGGAGCGAAAGCCUGGGGAGCAAACGGG